GAUGAACGCUGGCGGCGUGCCUAAUACAUGCAAGUCGAGCGAACAGACGAGGAGCUUGCUCCUCUGACGUUAGCGGCGGACGGGUGAGUAACACGUGGAUAACCUACCUAUAAGACUGGGAUAACUUCGGGAAACCGGAGCUAAUACCGGAUAAUAUAUUGAACCGCUUGGUUCAAUAGUGAAAGACGGUUUUCCUGUCCCUUAUAGAUGGAUCCGCGCCGCAUUAGCUAGUUGGUAAGGUAACGGCUUACCAAGGCAACGAUGCGUAGCCGACCUGAGAGGGUGAUCGGCCACACUGGAACUGAGACACGGUCCAGACUCCUACGGGAGGCAGCAGUAGGGAAUCUUCCGCAAUGGGCGAAAGCCUGACGGAGCAACGCCGCGUGAGUGAUGAAGGUCUUCGGAUCGUAAAACUCUGUUAUUAGGGAAGAACAAAUGUGUAAGUAACUAUGCACGUCUUGACGGUACCUAAUCAGAAAGCCACGGCUAACUACGUG
rnacentral:rRNA from 1 species